rnacentral:ncRNA from 2 species
AACCUUACAGGGGAUGGAGUACCCCCUUAUAACCGCCCGCUUGUAAGGGCUGAUGACUCCUGCCGUAGU